rnacentral:rRNA from 1 species
GUUUCAGCAGCCGCGGUAAUACGUAGGGUCCGAGCGUUGUCCGGAUUUAUUGGGCGUAAAGAGCUCGUAGGCGGUUCCGUAAGUCGGAUGUGAAAACUCGGGGCUCAACCCCGAGACGCCAUCCGAUACUGCGGUGACUUGAGUCUGGUAGGGGAACACGGAAUUCCUGGUGUAGCGGUGAAAUGCGCAGAUAUCAGGAGGAACACCGAUGGCGAAGGCAGUGUUCUGGGCCAGUACUGACGCUGAGGAGCGAAAGCGUGGGGAGCAAACAGGAUUAGAAACCCUGGUAGUCC